rnacentral:rRNA from 1 species
UACGAAGGGUGCAAACGUUGCUCGGAAUCAUUGGGCGUAAAGCGCACGUAGGCGGCUUCGCAAGUCGGAUGUGAAAUCCCUCGGCUCAACCGAGGACGUGCAUACGAAACUGCGGAGCUUGAGUGCUGAAGAGGAUCGCGGAAUUCCCGGUGUAGAGGUGAAAUUCGUAGAUAUCGGGAGGAACACCAGUGGCGAAGGCGGCGAUCUGGGCAGACAUUGACGCUGAGGUGCGAAAGCGUGGGGAGCGAACAGG